rnacentral:rRNA from 1 species
UGCUGNGAAAGGCUGGGGCUUAACCCUGGUUUUGCAGUGGNUACGGGCUAACUAGAGUGCUGUAGGGGAGACUGGAAUUCCUGGUGUAGCGGUGGAAUGCGCAGAUAUCAGGAGGANCACCGAUGGCGAAGGCAGGUCUCUGGGCUGUAACUGACGCUGAGAAGCGAAAGCAUGGGGAGCGAACAGGAUUAGAUACCCUGGUAGUCCAUGCCGUAAACGUUGGGCACUAGGCGUGGGGGACAUUCCACGUUUUCCGCGCCGUAGCUAACGCAUUAAGUGCCCCGCCUGGGGAGUACGGCCGCAAGGCUAAAACUCAAAGAAAUUGACGGGGGCCCGCACAAGCGGCGGAGCAUGCGGAUUAAUUCGAUGCAACGCGAAGAACCUUACCAAGGCUUGACAUAUACUGGACUGCGUCAGAGAUGGCGUUUCCCUUCGGGGCUGGUAUACAGGUGGUGCAUGGUUGUCGUCAGCUCGUGUCGUGAGAUGUUGGGUUAAGUCCCGCAACGAGCGCAACCCUCGUUCUAUGUUGCCAGCACGUGAUGGUGGGGACUCAUAGGAGACUGCCGGGGUCAACUCGGAGGAAGGUGGGGAUGACGUCAAAUCAUCAUGCCCCUUAUGUCUUGGGCUUCACGCAUGCUACAAUGGCCGGUACAGAGGGUUGCGAUACUGUGAGGUGGAGCUAAUCCCUAAAAGCCGGUCUCAGUUCGGAUUGGGGUCUGCAGCUCGACCCCAUGAAGUCGGGGUCGCUAGUAAUCGCAUAUCAGUAACGCUGCGGUGAAUACGUUCCCGGGCCUUGUACACACCGCCCGUCAAGUCACGAAAGUUGGUAACACCCGAAGCCGGUGGCCUAACCCUAGUGGGGGGAGCCG